rnacentral:rRNA from 1 species
GACGAACGCUGGCGGCGUGCUUAACACAUGCAAGUCGAGCGGUAAGGCCCUUUCGGGGGUACACGAGCGGCGAACGGGUGAGUAACACGUGGGUGACCUGCCCUCAGCUCUGGGAUAAGCCUGGGAAACCGGGUCUAAUACCGGAUAUGACUCCAUGACGCAUGUUGUGGGGUGGAAAGCCUUGUGCGGCUGAGGAUGGGCCCGCGGCCUAUCAGCUUGUUGGUGGGGUGAUGGCCUACCAAGGCGACGACGGGUAGCCGGCCUGGGAGGGCGACCGGCCACACUGGGACUGAGACACGGCCCAGACUCCUACGGGAGGCAGCAGUGGGGAAUCUUGCGCAAUGGGCGAAAGCCUGACGCAGCGACGCCGCGUGAGGGAUGACGGCCUGGU